rnacentral:rRNA from 1 species
GACGAACGCUGGCGGCGUGCUUAACACAUGCAAGUCGAACGGAAAGGCCCUGCUUUUGUGGGGUGCUCGAGUGGCGAACGGGUGAGUAACACGUGAGUAACCUGCCCUUGACUUUGGGAUAACUUCAGGAAACUGGGGCCAAUACCGGAUAGGAGCUCCUGCUGCAUGGUGGGGGUUGGAAAGUUUCGGCGGUUGGGGAUGGACUCGCGGCUUAUCAGCUUGUUGGUGGGGUAGUGGCUUACCAAGGCUUUGACGGGUAGCCGGCCUGAGAGGGUGACCGGCCACAUUGGGACUGAGAUGCGGCCCAGACUCCUACGGGAGGCAGCAGUGGGGAAUAUUGCACAAUGGGCGGAAGCCUGAUGCAGCAACGCCGCGUGCGGGAUGACGGCCUUCGGGUUGUAAACCGCUUUCGCCUGUGACGAAGCGUGAGUGACGGUAAUGGGUAAAGAAGCACCGGCUAACUACGUG